rnacentral:rRNA from 1 species
AACGAACGCUGGCGGCAGGCCUAACACAUGCAAGUCGAACGAGACCUUCGUGUCUAGUGGCGCACGGGUGCGUAACGCGUGGGAACCUGCCCUUAUGUUCGGGAUAACUCCCCGAAAUGGGUGCUAAUACCGGAUAAUGUCUUCUGACCAAAGAUUUAUCGCCUUUGGAUGGGCCCGCGUUGUAUUAGCUAGUUGGUAGGGUAAAAGCCUACCAAGGCUACGAUCCAUAGCUGGUCUGAGAGGAUGAUCAGCCACACUGGGACUGAGACACGGCCCAGACUACUACGGGAGGCAGCAGUGGGGAAUCUUGGACAACGGGCGAGAGGCUGAUCCAGCAAUGCCGCGUGAGUGAUGAAGGCCUUAGGGUUGUAAAGCUCUUUUACCCGGGAUGAUAAUGACAGUACCGGGAGAAUAAGCUCCGGCUAACUCCGUG